rnacentral:rRNA from 1 species
UAGCGUUGUUCGGAAUUACUGGGCGUAAAGCGUGCGUAGACGGUUACAUAAGUCGGGUGUGAAAGCCCCGGGCUCAACCUGGGAAUUGCAUUCGAGACUGCGUAGCUAGGGUGCGGAAGAGGGAAGCGGAAUCUCCGGUGUAGCGGUGAAAUGCGUAGAUAUCGGAAGGAACACCAGUGGCGAAAGCGGCUUCCUGGUCCAGCACCGACGUUCAGGCACGAAAGCGUGGGGAGCAAACAGG